UUUUAUGGGCGGGCCAUGGUGGGGAGGCGCUCGCGCCUGCCGGUUCCUGUGUUCCGGUUUUCCAGCCCUGCCAUGUGCCUGCCCACCCCG
rnacentral:antisense_RNA from 1 species